rnacentral:rRNA from 1 species
AUUGAACGCUGGCGGCAUGCUUUACACAUGCAAGUCGAACGGCAGCACGGGCUUCGGCCUGGUGGCGAGUGGCGAACGGGUGAGUAAUGCAUCGGAACGUGCCCAUUUGUGGGGGAUAACUACGCGAAAGCGUGGCUAAUACCGCAUACGCCCUGAGGGGGAAAGCGGGGGAUUCCCUUCGGAACCUCGCGCAAUUGGAGCGGCCGAUGUCAGAUUAGCUUGUUGGUGAGGUAAAGGCUCACCAAGGCGACGAUCUGUAGCGGGUCUGAGAGGAUGAUCCGCCACACUGGGACUGAGACACGGCCCAGACUCCUACGGGAGGCAGCAGUGGGGAAUUUUGGACAAUGGGGGCAACCCUGAUCCAGCCAUGCCGCGUGAGUGAAGAAGGCCUUCGGGUUGUAAAGCUCUUUCAGCCGGGAAGAAAGCGCACUCUCUAACAUAGGGUGUGGAUGACGGUACCGGAAGAAGAAGCACCGGCUAACUACGUG